rnacentral:lncRNA from 1 species
CAGGACACCCAAAUAUGAAGAGUACAAGACCGCAGUAGCCUGGCCAGUGCACACAAUGGAAGUGACAGCUUUCAGCCCCUCCAGCCCUGAUCCCUGGAUUCCAACUCCCUACUACCUCCUCCCAGCACCUCAGGAGUGGGGAGGAAGUGUCCAAGAGAGCCGAACAUUCUCCCUGUUCCUCCCUGCUCCUCCCAGGCCUUUCUGGGAAAGCCUGGGGACAGAACUGCCCACCUCCUGACAGCUUGUAAAGUGAAGAGUCAGCUUUGGGCUUUUGAGGAAGGACUGGAAGUGCCCGGCCACUCCCAUCCCCGGAUCCAGGAUGAUGACCCUAAGGGCAGAGCUUCCUCCAUCUUCUAGAAGAAUAUCGAAACCAGGCAGAGUUGGAAAAGGAAGGGAAGGGAAGCAGCCAGACCUUCAGAGUGAUUCACACACAGGAACUGUCUCUGGAGCAGGAGCCUCUGUUUCACGGAACCUAUUAAAUUAUCUCUUCAGCAAGUUACCCACUAGCCAAGUACACUUACAUAAUCCAACAUAUUCUAAAAAUAUAAAUACUUAGUCUUGAAGAUUUAUGAUGGGUUCUCAUUAUAUAAAUCUCU